GUGGGUAGUUUGACUGGGGCGGUCUCCUCCUAAAGAGUAACGGAGGAGCACGAAGGUUAGCUAAUCCUGGUCGGACAUCAGGAGGUUAGUGCAAAGGCAUAAGCUAGCUUGACUGCGAGAGUGACGGCUCGAGCAGGUGCGAAAGCAGGUCUUAGUGAUCCGGUGGUUCUGAAUGGAAGGGCCAUCGCUCAACGGAUAAAAGGUACUCCGGGGAUAACAGGCUGAUACCGCCCAAGAGUUCAUAUCGACGGCGGUGUUUGGCACCUCGAUGUCGGCUCAUCACAUCCUGGGGCUGAAGUAGGUCCCAAGGGUAUGGCUGUUCGCCAUUUAAAGUGGUACGCGAGCUGGGUUUAGAACGUCGUGAGACAGUUCGGUCCCUAUCUGCCGUGGGCGCUGGAGAAUUGAGGGGGGCUGCUCCUAGUACGAGAGGACCGGAGUGGACGCAUCACUGGUGUUCGGGUUGUCAUGCCAAUGGCAUUGCCCGGUAGCUAAAUGCGGAAGAGAUAAGUGCUGAAAGCAUCUAAGCACGAAA
rnacentral:rRNA from 1 species